UACGUAGGGGUCGAGCGUUGUCCGGAGUUACUGGGCGUAAAGCGCGCGCAGGUGGCUCAUUACGCCCGGCGUGAAAGCCCCCGGCCUAACCGGGGAAGGUCGUCGGGUACGGGUGAGCUUGAGGGUAGCAGGGGCUGGUAGAAUUCCCGGUGUAGUGGUGAAAUGCGUAGAGAUGUGGAGGAACACCAGUGGCGAAGGCGACUCUUUGGGCUGUAACUGACGCUGAGGCGCGAAAGCGUGGGGAGCAAACAGG
rnacentral:rRNA from 1 species